GUGGGUAUAGCACAGUGGUAGAGUGCAUGCUGAGUAUGCACAAGGUCCUCGGUUCAAUUCCCAGUACCUCCA
rnacentral:tRNA from 1 species